UUCUAACAGAUGUUUUGCCAGUACACUUUGAUGUGCAUUAAAGUUGUGAUACAAGUCCGGGAAACGGAGGAAUCGUGCAGAACUUUAGUCUCAUUGGUUGCACGGGUGAAAGGUUAAAGGCAGCUGGAACAGAAAUGAAGAGUCGGACAGCAGAGGUCACAUGGUUACUGAUGUUUUGGUUUCCAGGUGUGGAUGCCGUUUGGGUGGAAAAGUUCAGGAUGAUGUUGGUGUGGACGUGCUGUGUUGCACUCUGGGUGUGCGAUGUUGUGCAGGUGAAGCAGGUGGGGACAGGUCGAGGUGUUACUGUGUCAACAGAGGAAUUUGGACUUCCUGCACCACAGUGGCAAAGCAGGAGGCAGGGGUCACCGUGCUUUGACCCCCCUUCCAAGGGACAAAGGGGCUCUUUCUCUUCUUUGUGUCUUAAAGUAGAACUCAAACCUGAAACUGAACUUGAUGUUCUGAGAAUCCAGGACAGUUUAACACAAACAGUUAAAGUGUUAAAUAUUUGUCAACACAGACAGCUUCUGGGAUAAUUAAACAAAGACAUCAACACCUAUUGAUAGGGUGCUUGUUUCCUGCCAAGGUCCAAUAACUGAAUCAUUAUGAUGGCCCAUCUUAUCUACCAAGGUCCACAAAGUCAUGAGUCAUUAUUAAGACCCAAAUUUCCACCAAGGUCCAAACAAGUCCCAUGAAUCAUUAUUAAGACCCAAAUUUCCACCAAGGUCCGAAGGUCCCAUGAACAAAUAAGACCCAGUGUAUCCACAAGUUCCAAAAAGUCCCAUGAACCAUUAUUAAGACCCAACCUAUCCACCAAGUUCCAAAAAGUCCCAUGAACCAUUAUUAAGACCCAACCUUUCUACCAAGGUCCAAAACGUCUCAUGAAGUAUUAUUAAGACCAAACCUAUCCUCAACAUCCAAAAGGUUCCAUGAACCAUUAAGACUCAACUUAUCCACCAACAGCCAAAAAGUCCCAUGACCUGUUACUUAAGAUCCAAGGUUCAUGGAAAAUAAUUAAUUAGUCAUUAACUUACUGAUCCUACUAAUGAAUGAACAAACCAGUAAGGAUCAAAUAGAACCUCCUUUGUCGAGGGAAACAUGAUACUCUGAACUCAACACUUUUCAAAGCAUCCACAACAAAAAUAAAAUAAAAU